UUGACAUGUCUGGAAUCCUGAAGAGAUUUAGGAGUGCUCGCAAGAGAACCGGAACACAGGUGCUGCAUGGCUGUCGUCAGCUCGUGUCGUGAGAUGUUGGGUUAAGUCCCGCAACGAGCGCAACCCUUGUCAUUAGUUGCUACGAAAGGGCACUCUAAUGAGACUGCCGGUGACAAACCGGAGGAAGGUGGGGAUGACGUCAAGUCCUCAUGGCCCUUAUGGGUAGGGCUUCACACGUCAUACAAUGGUCGGGACAGAGGGUAGCCAACCCGCGAGGGGGAGCCAAUCUCAGAAACCCGAUCGUAGUCCGGAUUGCAGGCUGCAACUCGCCUGCAUGAAGUCGGAAUCGCUAGUAAUCGCGGAUCAGCAUGUCGCGGUGAAUACGUUCCCGGGUCUUGUACACACCGCUCGUCACACCAUGGGAGUGGGUUUCACCAGAAGUAGGUAGCCUAACCGUAAGGGGGGCGCUUACCACGGUGGGAUUCAUGACUGGGGUGAAGUCGUAACAAGGUAGGCGUAGCGAG
rnacentral:rRNA from 1 species